UACGGGGGGGGCAAGCAUUGUUCGGAAUUACUGGGCGUAAAGGGCGCGUAGGCGGCCUUCUAAGUCGGACGUGAAAUCCCUCGGCUUAACCGAGGAACUGCGUCCGAUACUGAAAGGCUUGAAUCCGGGAGAGGGAUGUGGAAUUCCAGGUGUAGCGGUGAAAUGCGUAGAUAUCUGGAGGAACACCGGUGGCGAAGGCGGCAUCCUGGACCGGCAUUGACUCUGAGGCGCGAAAUCUAGGGGAGCAAACGGG
rnacentral:rRNA from 1 species